GCAGUUGUGGCCUAAUGGUUAGCGAGUUGGACUUGCAACCCUGAAGGUUGUGGGUUCGAGUCCCAGGCCGGCAGGG